rnacentral:misc_RNA from 1 species
AAAGUCGUAACAAGGUCUCCGUUGGUGAACCAGCGGAGGGAUCAUUACGAAAGGAGUACUCGUACUCUUAAACCCUAUGUGAACAUACCUUUAGUCAGUUGCUUCGGCGGGAGGCCCCUGGGAGGGGCCCCGGGGCCCGGCCUGAGCCGGGCUCCCGCCGGAGGAGCGCAACCAAAACUCUUGCUGUACCCAGUGGCACGUCCGAGUAAACAAACAAAAACAAAUUAAAACUUUCAACAACGGAUCUCUUGGUUCUG